rnacentral:rRNA from 1 species
UACGUAGGGGGCAAGCGUUGUCCGGAAUCAUUGGGCGUAAAGCGCGCGUAGGCGGCCAGAUAAGUCCGGUGUGAAAGUCACAGGCUCAACCUGUGAAUGCCGCUGGAAACUGUCUGGCUUGAGUGCGGUAGGGGAGACUGGAAUUCCUGGUGUAGCGGUGAAAUGCGCAGAUAUCAGGAAGAACACCCCGUGGCGAAAGGCGGCUCUCGUGGGACGGUACUGACGGCUGAGACGCGAAAGCGUGGGGAGCGAACAGG